rnacentral:rRNA from 1 species
CGACCGGCGGACGGGUGAGUAACGCGUGGGUAACCUGCCUCAUACAGGGGGAUAACAGUUAGAAAUGACUGCUAAUACCGCAUAAGACCACGGUACCGCAUGGUACAGUGGUAAAAACUCCGGUGGUAUGAGAUGGACCCGCGUCUGAUUAGGUAGUUGGUGGGGUAACGGCCUACCAAGCCGACGAUCAGUAGCCGACCUGAGAGGGUGACCGGCCACAUUGGGACUGAGACACGGCCCAG